rnacentral:rRNA from 2 species
AGAAGUUUGGGAACAUGGCUCAGGAUGAACGCUGGCGGCGUGCCUAAUACAUGCAAGUCGAGCGAACUGAUUAGAAGCUUGCUUCUAUGACGUUAGCGGCGGACGGGUGAGUAACACGUGGGCAACCUGCCUGUAAGACUGGGAUAACUUCGGGAAACCGAAGCUAAUACCGGAUAGGAUCUUCUCCUUCAUGGGAGAUGAUUGAAAGAUGGUUUCGGCUAUCACUUACAGAUGGGCCCGCGGUGCAUUAGCUAGUUGGUGAGGUAACGGCUCACCAAGGCAACGAUGCAUAGCCGACCUGAGAGGGUGAUCGGCCACACUGGGACUGAGACACGGCCCAGACUCCUACGGGAGGCAGCAGUAGGGAAUCUUCCGCAAUGGACGAAAGUCUGACGGAGCAACGCCGCGUGAGUGAUGAAGGCUUUCGGGUCGUAAAACUCUGUUGUUAGGGAAGAACAAGUACAAGAGUAACUGCUUGUACCUUGACGGUACCUAACCAGAAAGCCACGGCUAACUACGUGCCAGCAGCCGCGGUAAUACGUAGGUGGCAAGCGUUAUCCGGAAUUAUUGGGCGUAAAGCGCGCGCAGGCGGUUUCUUAAGUCUGAUGUGAAAGCCCACGGCUCAACCGUGGAGGGUCAUUGGAAACUGGGGAACUUGAGUGCCAGAAGAGAAAAUUUCGCCC